rnacentral:lncRNA from 1 species
ACACACACACACACACACACACACACACACACACACACACACACACACACACACACACACACACACACACACACACACACACACACACUAAUCUUAUCUAACUUAACAUAAACGUCACUGGAGUUAUCAAUAUCACCUUUUAACAAUAUUCCCUUUGAGAAACCGCUAUCAUUAUCUAUUACAACAAAAAAUAAAAAAUACAAAAAAAAAAGGCGUAAUAUGAAGUGAACUGACCGAUUUAUAAGAAAGACGUUAAUGGAUAUGUGGUACCGUAGAUAUGUCAGUGAAUGAAUCGUACCGUACCGAUCGUAAUGAAUGAGCCGUACCGUACACAACAUGUCUCACUCAAAUUAUCGUACUCGUCGCUCAUGACUCGCCUGGUGCCGUAGCGAUGUUAAUAUAUGGAUAGUACCGUAGAUAUGUCAGUGAAUGAGUCGUACCGUACAGAUCUUAAUGAAUGAGUCGUACCGUACACAACAUUGUCUCUCAAACUCGUAGCUGAAAUGACUCAUGGUAUAUUAGAAAGAGGAAGGUUAGCUUGUGAGUGAGACUUGAGACACGGAGGUAAGCACAGUGGCAAGGAGUAAUGGAUUCUUAACCUCUAAUACUGGUAACACUCGAAAUUUAAUUAACGCAAAGGAAAAAUGUAGACGAAAAAAAAUGAGGGCAAAAAAGUUGAUAUCGUAAUUGAAAAGUGAGAAAAAUGACGUAUCUUGAUUGUGUAGUUUUGGUUAUCGUAGUUAAUCUCACCUCACACCUGUGCUGUUGAAAAAACUAAUUUGAUUUAAGCCUCAGUGGUGAAAGUUUUUUUUUUUUUUUUUCAAUCAGGAUCACAUGAUUUCAAAAUAGGUCACCACUCUCUCUCUCUCUCUCUCUCUCUCUCUCUCUCUCUCUCUCUCUCUCUCUCUCUCUCUCUCUCUCUCUCUCUCUCUCUCUCUCUCUCUCUCAAAAAAAAAAUAAAUAAAUAAAUAAAUAAAAUAAAAAAAAAAAAUUCGGGGGAAAGGAAUACCAACCUAACACUCAUUUUUAUUUUCACGAACAAAAAAAUCAACUAUAUAAAAAAAUCUUGGUCCCUUCAUGGCCCUAAACUGAAUGGCACCGUGUCCCUUAAACCCUUCGCAGCACACGCCCUUUGGCACCACAAGUAGUUUGAGAGUGGUAAUAGCUCGAGGUAUAGGAUUGGCACUUCCCUCACCUCUGAUAGAAAGAUCAUUAAGAAUUUCUGGUUAAUUGUCUUCAAGGCAUAGGAAGCAGGAAAUACAGAAGCAGGCAGGGAGUUCCAGAGUUUACCAGAGAAAGGGGUACUAUACAGGAGGCAAGUCACGUGAUCUGUACCUACCUACCUGUCCACGUAUUUAAGCUUCCCAGGUGUAUGCUACCGUGAUACCUGAGUGAUUAAUACCUAACUCAACAGUAUUACCUGGACGCUUUUCCUUAUUCCUUCUGUUACUGUUUGGUGAUUUUAUACAGCUUCAGAAACUCGUGUGGGGAGUGAAAUAGUGACCUUCAUAGACCCUUCUUAAUGUUACCUUUAUACCUGGCAGUGAUUAGUAAUUGCUCUUUACUGAAAUUAAUGAGUUUUCAGGUGUGACAGUCCAUGUUAUCUAUUCUGACACUUGCUUUUACUUGAGACUUUCUAUUCCCAGAUAGGAAAAUGCUACCUGUAUACCUGGCAAUGAUUAGUACUUGCUCACCUGAGACUAAUACGUUAGGUGUUCAUUACAAUAUACCUAUGAAUGAGUGCCCAGGGAUGUGCUUUUAUAUUAAGAAUCAAGAUAGAAAAUUAACUUGGUAACAUUCAAAGCGCCAUUGUUUAUAUUUGGAUAGAUGGAGAAUUAGAGGAAGAAUAGUGGUGAGUUUUAUUAGUGUGUGGUGGAUAGAAGGAAGUGCUGAGGAAUAAUGGUUUGUGGUGAGGUUUGUUAUUGUGGCCUGGAAUAGACGGAUGGUGAAUAGAAGGCGGUGUUGAGAAAGAAUAGUUUGAGAGUUUUGUUAGUGUGGCUUGGAAUAGACGGAUAGUGAAUAGAGGGAUGUUAUAGAAAGAAUAGUUUGUGAUCCUAUUUUGUUAAUGUGGCUUGGAAUAGAUGAUUGAUAGGGGAGUGUAGGACAUGAGGGGAAGGUGUCUUGUAUUGCCGAAGGAGGUGAUAGUUUAAGGGUUAGAAGGAUUAAAGACCACCGCAUGUAUUAGUUACGUUCCUCUGUACGUGUAACUGAGAAAAUGAAUGAUACAAGUGAUACAUUGAUACACAUACUGUCCCCACUAAAAGUAAUGAGUGAAAGAUUAAUGUUCCUUUGAUACGUAGAACUGAGAGACGAAUGACACAGGUGAUACAUUGAUACACAUACUGUCCCCACUAAAGUAAUGAGUGAUAAGUGCUUAGAGUGAAAGAUUAAUGUUCCUUUUAUACGUAGAACUGAUAGACAAAUUAUACAAGUGAUACAUUGAUACAUGAACUAUCCCACUAAAGUAAUCAGAGUGGCAAGUGCUUAGAGUGAAAGACAGACUAAUGGAUGAUAAAUGUUUAGUGAGAGGAAGGCAGGGAAAUGGAAGAAGACAAGACAUAAAUGUAAAUAAAUAAACCUUCCUUCAAUUAACCUGAGCCAAGACCCGUUUGAAAGGAAGGGAAUGAAUACGUGGGAGAUGACAAUUUUUCCUUAUCUUGAUUGAAAAGGGAGAAGGAAGUCAAUUCGUAGGAGAUAACAAAAACCUUCCCAACUUCAAUUAAUCUGAGGCAAGGCUUGUUUAAAAGUAAGGAAGGAAAUAAGUGAGAGGUAGAUAACAAACCUUCCUUCAGUAGAUUUGAACCGGGAUGUGUUUGAAAAGAAAGAAGAAAAAAAUAGAAGGAAAUAAACAAACUUUCUUCAUUUAGUACGACCCAAGAUCCGUUUAAAAGUAAGGGAAGGAAGGAAAUGAAUGAGCAUGUGGUUGAUGACAAACCUUCCUUCAAUUAACUAAGCCAAGAUGUGUAUGAAAAGGAAGGAAGGAAUGGAAUUAGGGAGAUAACAAACAGAUUCCUUUCUUCAAUUAAUAAGUGGUAGAUGACGAACCUUCCUUCAGUAAACUAGAACAAACAAACUUUCCUUCAAUAAACUAGAACAAACACUCCUUCCUUCAAUUAAUACGUGAUAGAUGAACCUUCCUUCAAUAAACUAGAACAAACUCCUUCUUUCAAUUAAUACGUGGUAGAUAACGAACCUUCCUUCAGUAAACUAGAGCCAAGACGUGUUUGAAAGUAAGAAAGUCGAAAAAAUAAAUAUGAAUAGGAGAUAAACAUUCCUUCAAUUAACCUGACCCAAGACACGUUUGAAAGCAAGCAAGCAAGGAAGGAGCGAGAUGGUAGUGGUAGGGAGAACACCGAGUCACGCUGGCCAAGGCAACACACAGCCCGGCGAGAAAGUGGCGGUGAUAGGGCAGCCAGCGCCACACUUCAUGCACCACCUUUUCCUAUUAAUGGGGGGGAGGAAUACAUGCAAGUCAGAGAGAGAGAGAGAGAGGGGGGUGAGAUAGAAAAAAAAAAAAACCGUUCGCCUUUCCCAGUUCACACUAAAAUAUACUAGUCAUUUCUUUUUUCUUCCCUCUAAUAAAAGUAAUAGUAACAACAAUAUGAACAUAAACAAUAUUCAUCUCAUCCUGAAGAAAACAAACUACAAAUAACAACAAUAACAUGAAUAUUCACACAAAAAAUAUCGUUACCAUAUCUAACUAUUAACAGUACCCUGGCACUCCACGGCUCAGUGCCACUUACCUUCGCACUGAGAUGACGCCCGUGAAACUCACCACCACGGCACUCAGUUGCUCAUGCCGCGCUAGUGAACGUAAAGACCUGUAUUGUUAGGUUAGGUGAGGGAAAGUAAGGUAGAGUUGGGUUGGGUUUAAAUAGGUAAGGUUGGGUUAGGCUAGGUUGAAAUUGGAUAAGGUUGAAUUGGGUUGAAAUUAAGUAGGGUUUGGUUGGGCUAGGUUGAAAUUGGAUUGGGUUGGGUUGGAUUAAAAUAGGUAAGGUUUGGUUGGGCUAGGUUGAAGUUGGAUAAGGUUGGGUUGGGUUGGGCUAAGUUGAUAUUGGAUAAGGUUGAAUUUGGUUGAAAUUAGGUAAAGUUGGUUGGGCUAAGUUGAAAUUGGAUAAGGUUGAGUUGGGUUGGGAUGGGUUGGUCUAGUUAGGACAGGUUAGGUUAGUUAAGAUCACAGUGUGUUUUGUCUUGGUAUUGUCUAGGUUGUGAAUGGUAGCUAGUGUCAGGAACUCAUUAAUCUUCAGGUAUAAUAGUGUUGAGAGCAAUGGAAGGAGUCAUAGAAUAGCGUUAGAACAGCAAAGGAUGGAAGGCACACAGGACGGUAACAAGAGACAAACUAGACUCAAGGGAAACAACCAGAAGUAGUGGCGGUUUUUUAGGAUAUCCAAGGAACAUAGAAAUAGAGGGAUAGAAUAGCGUUAGAACAGCAAAGGAUGGAAGGCACAGGAAGAUAAUGGACAGAAACUAGACUAACUGAAAACAACCAGGCGUAUAAUAUAGAAAAUCGAGGAAAUGACAGAGAAAAGGAAUAGCGUUAGAAUAGCAAAUAAUGAGUUACAGGGAGAUGCAAGGGACAAACAGCUAAAGGAAACAAGUAUACAACCACAGUCAAUUACUAUGAACACUGCCAAAGAAGAGUAUGGUCUUAUUAACCCUUUCAGUAUAGGGACAUAUUUUUACCUUGAGUUUUGGGUGUGAUUAGACAAUUUUUACAUUAGGAAGUGUCUAUGGAGGUCAGAAGAUUAAUGGCCAGUCUUGACUAUUUUAAUCCCUCACGUAAGUUUCUGAAGCUGUAUAAGAUAACCAAAUAGUAAGCAGAAUGAAUAUAGAAACGUGUCAUGGUACUGAAGCUGAGAUCUAGUACUUGUAUCGUGUCAGGUAUUAAGUUGUAGAUGGUGAGAUAUCUAGCACUGUAUCGGGACGUACCACCUGUUUAGACACCUGUGAACGAGGAGCACCGCAAACACUGCCACCGGGUAUUGUUCUCUCGUGUAUCUUGUAGUGUUGAUACGAAUGGUUUCUCUAAAGUUAUUAUUGUACGUGUUUGUGGAAUGUUUGUUGAGAAUUAGGUGGUGUUGGAAGGCAGUACCGGAGUGCAGCACGUUCAGAACAAGACCAGAACACGUUGGAUGAGUGACAACAUCUAUUUAGUCUGGAA